AAUUGUAUUUAUUUUUCUGUUUAUUGAGAAUCAGUAGAUAGUAUUUCAUCUACAUGUGUGCCUUUAGCUAAAUAAAUGUAGAAUUGUAAUUCAUGUAGUAGUGCCUAGUAUUCCCUUUACACGUGCGUCUAAUGUAGAAUUGUAAUUUAGGUUGCUGUUCCUUGAGAAUUCAUUUUUUAUUCAUCAUAUAUCAUUGACAAUGUGUAGAUAUUUUCACUUUAAAUGGCAUUCUAUACUGGAAUAGAGUACAUUUGGGAUAGGUCAGAUGUCUUUAAUACCCACAAAGUCAGAACAGCCUACAGCUAAUCUCCGCUUUAGUUCCGGGACACUUUGGGAGAUCAGUCAUCAUAAGAACCGAUUAUCAAUUGAUGCCCAAACAUAGAUCACCGGCGUGACUUGAUCUAGUACAAAGUCACACACACUGUCUAUAAUGUUCAAAUAUUUUGUGUGCACUUCUUACUUUUUCCCCUUUCUCACCAGCGUGAUUUCUUUCUCGUAUAUCCAAUAAAAAUCCAAAACACAUUUUAAAUUUUUGGUUAGAUACUUCACACCUGUGAGAUCACUCGUGUCUGCCUACCACAAAGCUUCAAACAUUUCAAUAUUCAAAGUGUGUUUACUUAUAUAUAUAAGCUUGACCGACUGCAAUAAAAAAAAACUUGUUCAACUUUAUAUUCUGUGUGCACUCUUCACACUUGCAGACUUCUCACCAGUUAAGUUCACUCAUUUCUGCACAUUAGAAAGUUACAUAUACAUUUCGAUAUUUUUUCUUUGCAGUCCUCCCACUGCACUACUCCGUGUGAUUGCUAUGUUCCAACGUUUAUUUUUUUUCCUGUGCACUCUUCACACAUGUGGGGUUUCUCACCAGCGUGGGUUUACUCAUUUCUACCACAUAAAAAGUCAUUUCUACCACAUGACAUUGACAAAGUACUGAUCUGCUGCUCACCAUUUGUGCAAUAACACAUCAUUUUCAAGAGGCAAGUCAGGUCUGCUCACCAAAGGUUAAAAUUUGGUAUAAUUGCAUAACAGGACACUACCUAGAUAUCAACAACCCAUUGAAUGUAUUACUGGGGGAUUUAUCAAGUGAAACACCAGUAAUUGCUAAUGUUAUAAUUCUAUUGGGCAAGAUAUAUAUCUAUAAAACCGGGAGACAUCGAAUAUAUCCAUCCACAUGUUUAUUGCCUUCGUUAAAUAUGAACAUAAAAUGGAAAAAAAAUAUUGCAACAGCUAAAAACAAAAUAAGUAAACAUAACAAAAAUCGGGAACCCUUAAACCUGUUUCUGUAAUAUCACUACCACAAGUACUCACCUCUCAGUGUAUGUGCACUUGUAUGUUCUUGUUCAAUUUUUCUUGUAUUGCAUUUUUUUUUUCAUCUGGAUAAAGUUUUUAAAAAAUAAAAAUAAAAAUUUGUUUAAAAUGUUUUACAGGAUGCCUCGCGCAAGGUGUACCGACUGAUGAAAAAAAGGCGACUUUCAGGGCUUUCGGCUUACUGAAUGGUAAGGCAACAUUUAUUUGUUUAAAACAAUUAAACCGUUUCUCUUACCAUGUCAUUGUCAUGACAUGAUAUUAGUACCACAUGUACCGUUUAACAUGUUCACUAUGUUUUAUAUGGCUCCCUUUCGUCAGUGCAAGAUGCAACUAUGUAAUGCUGCAGCAGGAUUGAAGCACUAAAUUGCAUGUAUUGUGCAAAUAGCACUGGAUCUUAAACCUCUACGGCAGAAACGUCACGGUGUCAACGAUACUUUUACAAAAUAAUCUUAGUUUCUAUUGCGUAGCACUAGAAACUAUAUGAACUAUUCAAACACCUUCGCAUAUGUAGACUAAGUCUUAUUGACUCAGGUUAAACCGGUUUUCCCAACGACAUCUCAGGAGUAGAGUUGAGUAGAGUAGAGUUGUUCAGUCCGGUAGGAGUAUCCACUCCAGUUUGGCCUGCUCUUCAAUUCGAAAUACUCAGGAUACUGUCAUUUUCGGACGUAAGGGAUGGUCCAGUAAAUACCUGUACUAUUCAAGCCGUAAUUGAUCGAAAGAAACUCAUGAUUUCUUGACAUCUUUAAAAAGUCAUCAGUAUCAGAGAUUAACCAUUACAGUAAUAGCAGUAUUGGCCCUCUUUGUAAAUUCAUGUCCGGAAUUAAACUCUUAUCCAGUAGUAGAAACCGAUUUGCCUGCAAGUUUUAAGUCAUUUUCCUUCAUUCUAGAUGCUGCCAAGAGGUACAGUAGAUCCAAGAGGGAUGGCCAGGUGCGGGCCCAGAAGGGAAAGUAUGCGGAGCACCGACACUCGGUCAAAAGAAACGGGAGGCAGCAACAGAAACUGGCGAGACGACGAAAGGCGUACGACCUGGCACGGGACAACUGGUCAGAUAAGUCUAGGAGGCGGGCAGAGGAGACACUCCACAAAGACUUCAUGUCGUCGGAGUCUUCAGACAGUGAAGUGGAGGGACCGAAAACCUUCAAGGUGAGAAAGCUGGCCUGGUAGUCAGGAAAGAUGACCAAAAUCAAGGAGUCGCUGGACGCUGUCGUGCCACUUCGGGGCUCGCCUCGAAUCGCGUCUGGUGAGCUUUCGGACAGAAAAGUACCGGAGGAGACCCCGGAGUGGGCGAUCAGCAAAAGGUAUCAGAACGGCAGAGCAUCAGCAACUGACAUCAGCGAGCUGAGGCUGGAGUUAGAUAGCAAGUAGGGCGACAGGCAAUUAGGAGUAGAUUUUGUUUAAUUACUUUAGUGUAGCAGUUUUCAAACUCAAGUUUGUAGCCGCAGAAUAGUCGUUUGCAACAACCAAUUUGAGUAAUUUAUGUCAACAUUUGUUUGUCCUUUUAGAUACUAUGUAAACACGGUUUACUAGUAGUUACGAUCCCAGUGAGUUAGUGUUUUUUUUAAUUGUUCAACCGUUUUUCCAGGUAUGUUUACUUGUAUUGAAUAAUUCUACCAGUUAAUUAACCCUUGUAAAACUGAAUAAGUGUGAUUAAUGCCACCCGGAUCGCCUGUAAGUUGGAAAUAUCUCAUUGUUAUCAAAUUUAAUAUCGUUUUCUUGACAUUCAUAAAUGCUUUGUUUUUAAUCAUUUUAAGACAAUCUGAUACAACAACAUGCUGUUACUAAUGUGAUUGCCUGGUGUAUAUGGAACACUGAGAAGCGAAUAAAAAGAAUGUUUGGCAGGUGAUGUGUAUUCUCAUUUUGACUUCACUGGUUCGAAAAAAUCUUGCAACCAAGGUGAGACUAUAUCAUCAUUAUCAUAUCGCCUGAAUUCAUAGACUAGACUGCACCAUAAUUUUUUCAGCUAUCAGGACCUAGCACCCCGUCUGGCACAAACGCCUAUCUGACUAAGCCUGUCGACUAGAUGCCGGAACUCUUCUAUCUCGACAACUACCGGUUCCUCUGAAGUACCCCCCCUGACGGGCGAAACUGUGUGAGAGGCGGGUGGGUCUGGACAAAUUAAGUUUGCCACGUCAGAAGACAAAAGAGGAGAUGUACGAGAGCGGCCGCACUGUCUUGUACUGCAAGAAAAGGUGGCUUGAGGCGAGGAAUUCGAAGGGGUCAGUGGUGCAUUUUCAGAAGACAACGGGAAAUAAAUGGCAGGCGGAAAAGUUCUCCUAGUCCUAUCUCGGACCCUAUCAGUGGACGACCAGACGGAACCAUGCACAAUACUAAUGGCCAGUUUGAGACGUUUUUGUCCAUAAGAUUUCAUAUUAUACUACUGAGGCUCGAGUAUACGCGUAUCCCCAGGAUGUUAAUAGGGACCAGAUUCACCUAUAUAUUCAAUGAGUGAAUAUUUCCUGUGGUCCUAAUAUUCUCAAUGCAUAUGUAUAUGUUAUGUAUAUGAUCACGCAGGCAAGUCACAUUUGCAUACUUUAGCUAUUGUUUCUUUGGUUAUGUUAUUCUAACAAGGAAUGAUAAGAAACCUGCUAAAUGUCAUUACCAUUUUGCAAAACUUGCAAUAUACAAGCACAUUAGGUAAACAAAAAUUAUGCAUAUUUGUUCUUAGUAUUGCAAAACAUUUACCUGCUAUACAGUGAAAAGAGAACAAAAAUUAAGUAAACUGCUUUUUUUGCACCUUUACAAGUUGUAAUAGUUACAGUAGUAAGUGUUUGAUUAAUGUGAUAUACGCUAAGACCGUUCCAAUUUUACAUUCAAUAGUACUGUUCUUUUAAUUUUAUAUUUCAUAUUUACCAUGUAAUCUGCCCCUCACCAGCGUGGCAUUCCUCCUGCUAACAGAGAACCCCUGCAGGUCGAGCAUUAUGACCACGUGUUUUGCUACGUGUACAUUUGUGAUUCUUGGCAUCAUUCUACUAACAGCUCACUGUUUCGCGAUAAUUGUAAAUCCUUUAACAGUUCAUUCCCGCUAACUCCACUGCUGGACAAUAUGCCAAUCACUCCCUGAAGUUAACAUUAGUCUAUCUUUAUUAACUCUAAUUAUUGUAAACUGGCACCCCACUGCAGACCUAAAUUCACACUUUUCAGCCUAACUCUGAUUAUCCUCCUGGUAAGAGAUAAAUACGGGACCAAGGGCACCGAAGUACCCCCUGCGGCGUAUGUCAUCGAGCCGUCAGGUGGGAAAAGGUGGACGGCCGGCAUGCCAUCUGUUGCGACUCAUGUGAUGUCUGGUACCAUAAUGACUGAGUGGGUAUGUCAACACCGGUCUAUAGUUCCAUCAAUAACCCUAAUGUGUCCUGGAUUUGCUGCUCCUGCGGCCGACCUAACUUAAGCUCCAGCCUCUUCAACACUACAGUAUCUGAAACAUCCGGUUGUUUCUGUUCCUCUGACGCCAGCACUUGUUCUAGUCCAGCAAGAUCUAUCGGCUCACCUAUAGCUGUUAGCCCACCCCCUCGCGACAGCACACAUACCAAACCAGUCAGGACCUGCGUGAUCAAUUUUCAAUCUAUCAGCAACAAGGUACCUGAACUGCACAAACUUUGCGAAGCUGUGCAACCAGACAUUGUUGUUGGCACUGAGACGUGGUUGGACUCAACUUGACCCAUUGUCCAUCAAGGGUCAAGGCAACUUGUUACAAAGCGCUGGUACGGCCUCACUUGGAAUAUAGUGCCAUCGUCUGGUAACCGUACACCAACUAACGGAUAAAGGGUGGAGGCCGUCCAGCGCAGGGCCGCCCGAGUGACAAUUAAUGACUUCCGGCAGACUAGUAGCGUAACACAAAUGCUCACAGACCUGAAGUGGCGUCCUCUCUCCGAAAGGAGGAGGAACGCCCGCCUCACUUUUUUUAAAAUAUAAUAUUAAUAUAGAAACUAAUGGCAUACUCAAGCCAGCCCAAGGGCGCAUGCGGGGAAACCACGACCACAAAUACCAGCCAAUCUUCGCCCGUACCGACAUAUAUAAAAACUCAUUUUUUUCUGCGUAUCAUCCCUGAGUGGAACGUCCUGCCUGGCACGGUUGUAAGUGCUCCAAACAUUGUAGAUAUCGGUGUACCAUAUAAUAUUUGUAAACGAAAAAAAAGCCAAUUUCCAGACCUAGUACUGCUACUUCCACGAUGCAAAGGGACAUUGAUGGACUUGUGGUGUUAUCACUGUUGUCUGUUCCUCUCGUGUCAACCUCGUCAAGUUGUAUUUCUUGAUUCAUUUGUCAAGAAAAUGAAUUUGGAGAAAACUGACGUUAGACGCUGGGAGCCCUGGCCCAAUGGUAGUCAGCAAUCAGCCAGUUCACAUCGGUUGCUUUUCGUUAGAUGACAUGGUGGUGGUACAUGGUAUAAAGAAGCCCUUACAUGUAAAUAAAAUGUACCAGAUAUAAUAGAGAGCAUAAUAAUGUCAAGUAUGGACUUUAAAACAAUACUUCUAAUAGCCUGCAUAUUUUAAAGCAAAGUGUUCAACACUAGAUUUAUUUCCAAAUCUUGUCAUUGUCAUUGAAAUAUAUUUCUAUCAUUUGACAGGACGGCCACAUGUCGUUGAUGUGCACGUCUGUCGCUGUGAACCGGAACCAUGAAGUCAUCUUCAACGAGGGCUGAAGGAAGCAGCAACAGACAGACAUAAAGCAGGAUUUUCCUUACCUCUUAUAGAAUGUCUGGUUUCCUUCACUCAAGUAUGCCAUGUCUCUGUUUCAGCAUUGCACUAUGUGCGGAGAGCUACACCAGAAGGCAGGCAUUGACAUGGUCUGUAUGAAAAUUACACUUGCAAUGGGUAAGCUAUUGAUUUCAAUUUUUUGUUUGUUUUGCCUAACUAUUAAUAAUAUGCAUGAAGUUAUUGAGCAGGCAAAAUCAGAACUGGUACAGAAGCCAAAUGGUGCUCACGCAAUUGCUGUCUCACACAAUGCAGGAUUGCAUGGGGAAGGUGAUGAGGCUGGUAAUGAAAUAUUAAGAAGGUUUAUGGAAUCGACUGAUAAAGAUAAUUACAAGAAAGAUUCCCAAACACCUAGAGAAUCAGUGUUUCAAGAGAUACACCAUGAAUGCAGGCGUGUUUGUUCGGGCACUGACAUGGGAUAAGGACGAGCAUACUGGACAAGUUUUCUGUGACUUUUUCCAGACAGCUCAACAUGCAUAUGGCUGUUCCACAUGUAGCUGUUGAUCGAUUUUCCAGGCUCGACCAAAUCCUCCCAUGCUUGUGAUACUUGACAAUUACUAACAACACUCCUUCUGGGUGCUUGGAGGAAUUUUUGGAGAAGCUCUAAAGACCAACGGAUUCGUAGUGCAAGAACAUACCCCGAUACUUCAGGCCCGUGGAAAACUCGUUCCUUACCGCAAUGCAGAGGUAUUCAAGGCCAACGACAACCACAGUGACCGGAGGAUUUCUAUUUUGAUACCACCCAGGUCACGAUAAUGUCCACAUCAACAACAAUUGAAUCGAGCUUAACAUAAUAUGAGCUUUGAGAAAAUGAAAUCACCAGGUACAGCAAAAAAGAGAAACGCCAAGUUUAGCGUUUGGACAAACUUAAUAACCACACACAAAAAGACGGAUGCUACCAGGAACACAACGUAGUUAUUCAGGAAACUGGGUCAAAACAGAGGAGCCAUUAGGUAAAUAAAAUUUCGUUAGUCAUAAAUCACGGCCAAAAGCUAUACAUGGCAUGUGCCCCAAACGAUUCUGUGGUUUAUCUAUUAGGUACAGGAUAUUGGUAAGUGUGUGGUAAAUUAUAAACGCAAGCUAUGUUAAAAGUAUUGUCAGAAUUUGUAUCUUUUUUUAUUACUCGUAACAACAAUGCUACAAUGCCGAGAGACACAGUUGUCAUUAGAGGGUGAACAUCCCUGUCAUAAUGUUAAAAAUAAUGGAUCAAUAUAAUAAUAUAGGAUUAUACGGAAUAGAGUGGAGUAAAAAAUUCCUGGGCGGGCAAAGCCUGAUAAGUCUUCAGUUUUUCGGGGCAGGAAAAAUACACCAAGGGGGUCAAAUUGGAGCGUGCAAACACGGUUGGAGGGAGGAGCGGCGGAAACAGAAUCACUGACAAAACAGGAUAAUCGCCAAGGGAAAGUUUCCGAGUGGGGCAGGAAAGAAGCAGAGCAGAACCCAAACUUGCCAACGCUUGAAAUUCUACGGAAGAAAAGAGCUUCCGGUGAGGGGGACCCAUCAUACACAGGGGCUUAGUCCAACAUGCACCCCAGACACACAACUUUUAUCAUUCUUCCUGUUCACGAAGCAAACAUAAAAGCGAAGAGACUAAAUUAAAGUCGGUACUGUAGAGGAGGGUGAAAGCAGCCCAUGACUGCCACCCACAGACAAACCUGCAUCAAAAUCACAACUACACCAAUAACGGGCGUAUGACGAGGUUUGGAGGGUUGCACAACAGCCAGCGAGGAGAUUCUGAAAACUUCUGACUAGACUGGGCACGUAGCACAGAUGUGAUCUACCCGGUAUCAACCUCGACCGACAACACGAAAUUGAGUCAACGCUCACAUGCUGCUCUAAAGCCUUAAAAAUAAUAAAACGGCGAGCACCCACGUCCCACAUGCUGCUCUUAAGCCCUCACCUAACAAGACGGCCUUUAUGGAGCACGUUCCAAUAAAGCUGAGAUUCAAUCAAGCUAAGACCCUAAUAAAAACAACGUCCCCUCUCAAGAUACAACGUUAACGCAACGUGCCAGCUAUCAGCUAUACGUCACAAAAGCUAAAGCAGAGUUUAGCAUUUGGCGAGGAAGUUGUGAAGCACACAAAAACGAUAUAUGCUAAUGCCGUUACGCACAACCUUACGCCCUGAGGUUACGAGCUGGACUGGCGCCAAGUUCCAGAGACGACUCGCUUUAUACCAUCCACAGUGUCUUAAUAUCCAUCCGCAGCGAGAUGUAACAAAGGUUUUACCGAAACGCAAAAAAAAUUCUUUUUGUCAAGAUGUUGAGGAGAAAGUUAACUAAAAGAAGAACAUCAUAAGUAACAAUUUUAUCUCAACCGUUUGAAACGCUGUGGCAAUUUGUGGCGAGGUACUUUUUUUUAGCGCAUGGAUUUGCAUCACGGAGGGCAGUACAUCAACAGGCUCACGUGCAAACGGGCUAGUUCAUUAGGCUGCAGGUGAAGACUUCCUCGCAUAUCCAAUGGACCAAUUACCUGUUGAGAUAAAUUAUGUCGCAAUGUCUGGUUGGUGAUGGUCGAAAAUUACAUCAAUGAAGUUACGCCUACACGUUCGGGUAAGGUUUGUAUCCAUCUGCCGUCAAAAAGUAGUACCUUCCAAAACAAUAAACUAGUAUAACAAAGUAGUAUAACUUCAAAAACAAUAAAUGUUGCUCUAACCUAUAGAGACUCUUAGGUUAUACUAACUUACGUUCCUGAAUUUUAGAUACAUGAUCCAUAUCUGAACUAAAUGGACUUGGAGGCUCGUCAAAUGUUACAAUCGCGGACGGAUAUGUACAAAGUGCUUUGGUCGCCGAGACAAAGGAAAUAUUUUGCCAGUGCAGUUUUGAAUGUCGUUGGGACAACAUGCAAUUUUGGCUUAGCUCUGUCUUUGCAUUAUGUUUUUGAAAAACAGAUACAUCGCUACAAUAUGCCGGUGUAGUUAGUAUAGUAAUGCAUAGAUUCGUCUGCCAGACAUCCUAGGUGACGGACGCACCUCGCUGCUUCCAGGUUUUUAUUCUCGCGACAGACAACGUGAUUUGUUAUGUUCUGAUGCAUUGCCAUGCAUACCAGGCUGACCCUUGUCUUUUAGGUUUUCUUCUCGGAUUUGCUGUUUCAAAGACAGGGGCCUUUAUUUUAGCCCCUUGCCAUUUUUGUGUAAUUCUUUUUAAACAGGGUGUUAUCGUGGUCCCUUUUUGUAAAAUUCUUGUCUUUUCUUGGUGAUGUUUAUCAUCACGACUGCAGUCCUUGUCUAGAUAAAGAUAGGGCUUCAUGAGAUGAGAAUGACACAGAUUUUGUAGUGCGUGGUUUGUUUCCUUUUAGCAUUCCCCAGUUCCUUAUGGUAGACCUUUGCUAUGAAGGGCCCAAUCUUGAAUGUGACAGAUGGCCGUAAGGGAUCUCCUAGUGUUUUGAUUUAGAAGAAUCGGCCAGACCAAAACCUUUUAUUAUCUGACUGGUGGGUUGUUGUUUCUUCCUUAAAGACUGAGUUUAGGUAGCUCCAAUAGCUACGUCUUAUCUGCCUUUGUAUUGUAUUGUACGGCGAAGGGCCUUAACCUCUUCUUUUAGUGUUGGUGAGCCAGUUUAGUUCAUCUUAAGAUACUUCCUGUUCCGUCUGUUGAUGACUGGCUGGACUUAACCUUUAUUGACUUAUGCGGCACAUAUGUCUUAAUUGCUGUCAGGAGUGAAUCCACAGUGCACAGGGAGGUCGUUGAUCUUUGUUAUAGAGGGCAAGAAUGGGUCGUAGGUCGUGUUUGACAACGCGUCUAAAACCAGUCGAGUAUUGGACGUAAAUUUUGGACAAUGUGUUGGCGAGUCGUACAUCGGGCUUUUUUAAGUCGGAAAAUCGGAUUUUUUAGACCUAUUUACGACCAUAUUUCACAGUUACGACUUAAACCCUCCUAAUUUACGACUAAAUCUGUCAAAUCUGUCCUCGGAACAAAGAGAGUUGUAACUGUAAUAAAAACUUUCUAGUUGCAUUUUUAUUGUUCAUAUAUAGAAUAUUACAUUUCAAGAAAUCAGUUUCUUUUCUCCCUUCACAUUAAUAAACUCACUGA